AAAUGAGGGUGCAAAUGAGAACCAUAACCCUGUAUAGGUUAUUCAAUGGCUAGUUUUAUUUUGGUUUUAUACUCGGAUUGGCAACACAAGACAAUUUUUCUGUAAAUGCCCGAGGACUUUAAGGCAGUGAAGACUAUUGAAAGGACUUUUCUAAAGCUAACAUCUUUAUAAUUUUGCAACACAUAGCAAUUACUCUGAGCUCUAUUCAACUGAAUGUUAUUCAUUCAUGGAAUGCUAUGGAAGAAGCCACUUGAAAGCAGCAAUCAAAGGUGGACCAAUGGUGUUGUAUGCUCCAUACACACAGAGACCUAAUGAAACCUGAGUAAAACCAUUCACCUUUAAGUGCUCUUCAAAUACUACUCUAGUGCCACAUAUCAUAAUAAGGAGUGCAAUACAACAGAAUGGGAUGGAGGCCAGUGAUUAUGAGAAAAGUUUGGGUGAAGAAAUAUGAAAUUCGGAACUAAUUUUGAUGGACCUCGGCUGAUGUUUUCAGAUGGGUUAUUAAACAAUCCGUAUCAAAUUUCGAGCAAAUAUGUUCAAACUGUAAUAACUAUGGUUGACAAAUUACAAAAUUUUUGCGAACUACGCAAAAUCUGACAAA